rnacentral:tRNA from 1 species
GGGCCGUUAGCUCAGUUGGCAGAGCGUUCGCAUGGCAUGCGAAAGGUCACCAGUCCAAAUCUGGUACGGUCCA